CCUAGCCCACGCCGCGUACCCGGCAGCAGGUUAGCCAUGGCGAUGGGCGGCGGCGGUGGCGGCAGUAGCAGCGCCGUCCCAGAGCCGGAAGACACGGUGCUGUUCCGGCGUGGCACAGGCCAGAGUGAUGAUUCUGACAUUUGGGAUGAUACAGCAUUGAUAAAAGCUUAUGAUAAAGCUGUGGCUUCAUUUAAGCACGCUCUAAAGAACGGUGACAUUCCCGAAGUUUCAGAAAAACCAAAAGGCGCACCUAAAAGAAAACCUGCUAAGAAGAAUAAAAGCCAAAGAAAGAAUACCACAACUCCCUUGAAGCAGUGGAAAGUUGGUGACAAAUGUGCUGCCAUUUGGUCAGAAGAUGGCUGUGUUUACCCAGCUACCAUUGCUUCGAUUGACUUUAAGAGAGAAACCUGUGUUGUCAUUUACACUGGAUAUGGAAAUAGAGAGGAGCAAAAUCUGUCUGAUCUACUUUCCACAACCUCUGAAGUAGCUAAUAAUAUAGAACAGAAUGCUCAGGAGAAUGAAAAUGAAAGUCAAAUUUCAACAGAUGAAAGUGAGAACUCCUCCAGGUCUCCUGUAAAUAAACCAAAUAACAUCAAGUCAAAAGCUGCUCCAUGGAACUCUUUUCUCCCUCCACCACCCCAUAUGCCAGGACCAGGUCUGGGACCAGGAAAGCCAGGUCUAAAAUUCAGUGGCCCGCCGCCGCCACCCUUCCCGUCAUCCUGGCUGCCUCCAUUUCCUUCUGGACCACCAAUAAUUCCCCCACCACCUCCUAUGUGUCCAGAUUCUCUGGAUGAUGCUGAUGCUUUGGGAAGUAUGUUAAUCUCUUGGUACAUGAGUGGUUAUCAUACUGGUUACUAUAUGGGUUUCAAACAAAGUCAUAAAGAAAGAAGGCACUCACAUUUCAAUUAAGGAUGUGUUAGGUGUACAGCAAAGUGAUUUCAGUUAUACAUAUACAUGUAAUUCAUAUAGUGUUUUAUAAUAGGUGCAGCUCUCUCCCAAGGAGGAUGGUAUAUUGAUGUGCCCUGGUCGAUGUGAACAGAAGUUUCAUCAUUUUCUUCAUGAACACUUGGAUAGGUGCAUGUCAUCAUUUCCCCUUGUUGCAUGUGACUCAUGCUUAAAUAACCAGUUAGCUAUUUUGAGGCAAUAAUCAGUUUGAAUAACUGAACAAUGGAAAUAUGAGUGAUUAAAAGAAAUUCAAGGUCACACACAGUGCAGAAAGUCAAUCUGUCAAAAUCACAACUGAACCCAUUUGUAUAUUGUAACUUUCUUAGUAAGUAUGUUAAGAUUUUUAUCAAUGCCUUUAAAAAUAAAUAACUUUUUUUUUUUAAA